GACGAACGCUGGCGGCGUGCUUACCACAUGCAAGUCGAACGGAAAGGCUCCAGCUUGCUGGAGUACUCGAGUGGCGAACGGGUGAGUAACACGUGGGUAAUCUGCCCUGCACUCUGGGAUAAGCCUGGGAAACUGGGUCUAAUACUGGAUAUGACCUUUCUCCUUAUGGGGUUUGGUGGAAAGUUUUUCGGUGUAGGAUGAGCCCGCGGCCUAUCAGCUUGUUGGUGGGGUGAUGGCCUACCAAGGCGACGACGGGUAGCCGGCCUGAGAGGGUGAUCGGCCACAUUGGGACUGAGAUACGGCCCAGACUCCUACGGGAGGCAGCAGUGGGGAAUAUUGCACAAUGGGCGGAAGCCUGAUGCAGCGACGCCGCGUGAGGGAUGACGGCCUUCGGGUUGUAAACCUCUUUCAGCAGGGACGAAGCGUAAGUGACGGUACCUGCAGAAGAAGCACCGGCUAACUAUGUG
rnacentral:rRNA from 1 species